UGUCAACUAAACCUGAAUUAUUUAAAAAAGCCUACAGCGAAGCCAAGAUAUUUCCUAAGCCCAAUCUAAGUCACAUCACAACUAAUCAAGCUGUUCAACCACAAUCAUCGAAAGUGUUUGAUAAUUUUGUGAAACCUGAAAAAGUUAUUUCGAACAAACUUAAGUUUAAAGUCAAUAAUUCUACAAUGUCUACCUCUACUAAUGAUGCAAAUAUAAAGUUAUAUCAUCGACCCUCGUGGAUUAUCAUGGAUGAUGAAAGUGAAAAGAUGAAUUCCUCACCACCGCCAACAAUAAGUUUAAAUGAAAGAUUUUCCAAUUUACCAGUGAAAAAGAAACGGGACAAAGAAAAAGGUAAACAUAAAAAGAAGCGAACUCGACGAAUUUCGAUUCCCUCCAAUACUUGGAUUAGUAUUAAGAAUACAAAGGACAACAAGUGUAAACAGAAAAGACGAG
rnacentral:lncRNA from 1 species